UGCCCUUGUUAGAACAUGCUGUCUGUCAC
rnacentral:piRNA from 1 species